rnacentral:rRNA from 1 species
GAGGCCUUUACUGACGCUAAAGCUCGAAGGUGCGGGUAUCGAACAGGAUUAGAUACCCUGGUAGUCCGCACGGUAAACGAUGGAUGCCCGCUGUUUGCGAUAUACUGUGAGCGGCCAAGAGAAAUCGUUAAGCAUCCCACCUGGGGAGUACGCCGGCAACGGUGAAACUCAAAGGAAUUGACGGGGGCCCGCACAAGCGGAGGAACAUGUGGUUUAAUUCGAUGAUACGCGAGGAACCUUACCCGGGCUUGAACUGCAGGAGAAGGAUACAGAGAUGUUGACGCCCUUCGGGGCUCCUGUGGAGGUGCUGCAUGGUUGUCGUCAGCUCGUGCCGUGAGGUGUCGGCUUAAGUGCCAUAACGAGCGCAACCCCUUUCGUUAGUUGCCAUCAGGUGAUGCUGGGCACUCUGGCGAUACUGCCACCGUAAGGUGUGAGGAAGGUGGGGAUGACGUCAAAUCAGCACGGCCCUUACGUCCGGGGCUACACACGUGUUACAAUGGGUGGUACAGAGAGUGGGUCGUCUGCAAAUGCGAUCAAAUCCUAAAAGCCAUCCUCAGUUCGGAUUGGGGUCUGCAACCCGACCCCAUGAAGCUGGAUUCGC